CUCCAACCUGACCUGGUGGGGCUACCCGCUAAGUUUAAGAAUAUCAAUAAGUGGAGUAAAAGAAGCUUACAAGGAUUUCCCUAGUAACGAGCACCCUCGGUUUUCGAAUUGUAGUCUGAAGAAGCGUCCUCAGUGGCGGACCAAGCUCAAGUCCCUUGGAAGGGGGCACCGGAGAGGGUGAGAGCCCUAUUGUGCCCGGACCCUGUCAUGCCACGAGGCACUAUCAGCGAGUUGGGUUGUGUGGGAAUUCAGCCCAUAUCAGGUGGUAAAUUCCAUCCAAAGCUAAAUGUUAGCAAGAGACCUAUAGCAAACAAGUACUGCGAGGGAAAGAUGAAAAGGACUUUGAAAAGAAAGUCAAAGAGUGCUUGAAAUCAUCGGGAGGGAAGCGGAUGGGGGCCGACGAUGUGCCUCAGUCAGAUACGGAACGGUGAAAGCCGGUCUACCAAUGGACUCAAGGCACAGACUGAUGUGGAUUACGAUGGUGGCCCAAGCUCGGGCUAUACAUAUGCUGAUGGAGACAUUGUUGCUGCGAUCGUGGUUGGCAGCAAGCACUGUCGUGGUGUGCUUCGGCACCUGCGCGCUUUUGGCGCUGACCUAUGGGCUCCCCAUUUGGCCCGUCUUGAAACACAGACCAAGGAGUCUGACAUGUGGCAUGUGUGCAAGUCAAUAGGCCAGUAAACCCAUAAAGCACAAGGAAGCUGAAUGGCGGGAUCCCCAUGCUAGUUGCACCACUGAUCGACCUUGAUCUUCUGAGAAGGGUUCGAGUGAGAGCAUGUCUGUUGGGACCCAAAAGAUGGUGAACUAUCCCUAAGUGGGCGAAGCCAGAAGAAACUUUGGUGGAGGUCUGCAGCAAUACUAACGUGCAAAUCGUUCGUCUGACUUAGGUAUAAAGGCGAAAGACUAAUCAAAUCGUCUAGUAGCUGGUUCCCUCCGAAGUUUCCCUUAGGAUAGCUGGAGCCCGCAGAUGAGUUCUAUCAGGUAAAGCCAAUGAUUAGAGGCAUCAAAGGUGCAAUGCCCUCGACCUAUUCUCAAACUUUAAAUAGGUAGGAUGGAGCAGCUGCUCCAUUGAGCCGCACUACAGAAUCAAGGGCUCCAAGUGGACCAUUUUUGGUAAGCAAAACUGGCGAUGUGGGAUGAACUUGAAGCUGGGUUACAGUGCCCAACUAUGCACUAAUGUAGAACCCAUAAGUGUGUUGGUCGAUUACGAUAGCAAGACGAUGGUCAUGGAAAUCGAAAUCUACUUAGGAGUGUGUAACAACUCACUUGCCGAAUCAACUAGCCCUGAAAAUGGAUGGUGCUGAAGUGCACUAGGCCCCGAUGAGUAGGAGGGCACGGCGGUCGCUGUAAAACCUAGGGUGCGAGCCCGAGUGGAGUCGCCUUCGAUGAAAAUCUUGGUGGUAGUAGUAAAUAUUCAAAUGAGAACUUUGAAGGCCAAAGAGGGGAAAGAUUCCAUGUGAACGGCACUUGCACAUGGGUUAGUCUAUCCUAAGAAAUGGGGGAAGCCCGUCUGAUAGCGUGAUCAGCUUGAAUUUCGAAAGGGAAUCGGGUUAACAUUCCUGAACUCGGACAUGGUGAUUGAUGGCAACAUUAAGGAGUCCAAAGACAUCAGUGGGGGCCUUGGGAAGAGUUAUCUUUUCUAUUUAAUAGCCUACCCACCCUGGAAAUGACUUAGCCGUAGGUAGGGUCUAGCGGCUGGAAGAGCACUGCACGUCGAGUGGUGUCCAGUGCGCCCCCGGAGGCCCUUGAAACUCCAGAGGACCGAGCGCCUACCAUGCCCGAUCAUAUUCAUAACCGCAUUAGGUCUCCAAAGUGAACAGCCUCUGGCCAAUGGAAUAAUGAAGGCAAGGGAAGUUGGAAAAAUGGAUCCGUAAAAGGAUUGGCUCUGAGGGCUGGGCAUAGGGGUCCUAGUCCCGAACCCAUCGACUAUCGGUGGACUACUCAAGUUGCUCCAGCGGCGGGAGUGGUUUACCGCAUGCCGAUCGGGGGACAGAAUGGGAUAAGGUCCCUUUGGGGGCCCUUCCCCAGGCAUCGAACAGUCGACUCAGAACUGGUACAGACAAGGGCAAUCCGACUGUUUAAUUAAAACAAAGCAUUGCAAUGGUCCAUGCGGAUGCUCACACAAUGUGAUUUCCGCCUAGUGCUCUGAAUGUCAAAGCAAAGAAAUUCAACCAAGCACGGGUAAAUGGUGGGUGUAACUAUGACUCUCUUAAGGUAGCUAAAUGCCUCAUCAUCGAAUUAGUGAUGCGCAUGAAUGGAUUAACAAGAUUCCCACUGUCCCUGUAUACUAUCUAAGGAGACCACAGCCAAGGGAACUAGCUUGGCAGAAUUAGCAGGGAAAGAAGACCCUGUGAGCUUGACUCUAGUCUAACUUUGUGAAAUGACUUGAGAGGUAUAGUAUAAGUGGGAGCCGGAAACAGCGAAAGUGAAAUACCACUACUUUUAACGUUAUUUUACUUAUUCCAUGAAUCAGAAGCGGGGCACUGCCCCUCUUUUUGGACCCAAGGCCUAUCUUGGCUGGCCGAUCCGGGCGAAAAACAUUGUCAAGUGAGGAGUUUGGCUAGGGUGACACAUAUGUUAAAAGAUAAUGCAGGAGUCCUAAGAUAAGCUCAAAGAGAAUAGAAAUCUCAUGUGGAACAAAAAGGUAAAAGCUAGUUUGAUUAUGAUUUCUAGUACGAAUACGAAGCAUGAAAGCGUGGCCUAUCGAUCCUUUAGACUUUGGAAUUUGAAGCUAGGGGUGUCAGAAAAGUUACCACAGGAAUAACUGGCUUAUGGCAGCCAAGCGUUCAUAGCGACGUUGCUUUUUGAUCUUUCGAUGUUGGCUCUUCCUAUCAUUAUGAAGCAGAAUUCACUAAGUGUUGGAUUGUUUACCCACCAAUAGGGAACAUGGGCUGGGCUUAGACCGUCGUGAGAUAGGUUAGGUUUACCCUACUGAUGAUAGUGUCACAAUAGUAAUUCAAUCUAGUACGAGAGGAACUGUGAAUUCGCACAAUUAGCAAUCGCGCUUGGUUGAAAAGCCAGUGGUGCGAAACCACCGUGUGCUAGAUUAUGACUGAACACUCUAAGUCAGAAUCCUAGCUAGAAGCAAUGUAUGUGCUCACUACCCGUUUGCCAACCAAUAGUAAGGGCCUUGUGAUACGAACCUAGGACGACCUGCUCCUAAACCCGUAUUAUAUUAGCUCGGAUCUUUAAUUAAGUUCAAGUUCUAAUGGAAUGGACCUCAACCCCUAACCAGCCUGUGGUUAGAAACCUUGGUAUAAUGUAGACGCCACAAUAGGGGAUGGAAAACCUNUGGCCCUC
rnacentral:rRNA from 1 species